UCUUCGAUAGUACAGGGGUUAGUAUAUCCGCUUUUCAGGCGCGGACGACCCGGGUUCGAAUCCCGGUCGGAGAA
rnacentral:tRNA from 1 species